UGCCUUAGUAACGGCGAGUGAAGCGGCAAUAGCUCAAAUUUGAAAGCUGGCCCCUUUCGGGGUCCGCGUUGUAAUUUGUAGAGGAUGAUUCGGCGAGGGCUCCCGUCUAAGUCCCUUGGAACAGGGCGUCAUAGAGGGUGAGAAUCCCGUAUGUGAUGGGCUGCCUUAGCCAUGUGAAUCUCCUUCGACGAGUCGAGUUGUUUGGGAAUGCAGCUCUAAAUGGGAGGUAAAUUUCUUCUAAAGCUAAAUACCGGCCAGAGACCGAUAGCGCACAAGUAGAGUGAUCGAAAGAUGAAAAGCACUUUGGAAAGAGAGUUAAAAAGUACGUGAAAUUGUUGAAAGGGAAGCGCUUGCAGCCAGACUUGUCCGCAGUUGCUCAGCCUGCCUCCUGACAGGCGUACUCUUCUGCGGCCAGGCCAGCAUCAGUUCGGGCGGUCGGAUAAAGACCCGGGGAAUGUAGCUCCUCUCGGGGAGUGUUAUAGCCCUGGGUGCAAUGCGGCCAGCCUGGACUGAGGAUCUCGCUUCGGCUAGGAUGCUGGCGUAAUGGCUGUAAGCGGCCCGUCUUGAAACACGGACCAAGGAGUCUAACAUCUAUGCGAGUGUUUGGGUGUCAAACCCAUGCGCGUAAUGAAAGUGAACGGAGGUGGGAACCCUCACGGGUGCACCAUCGACCGAUCCUGAUGUCUUCGGAUGGAUUUGAGUAAGAGCAUAGCUGUUGGGACCCGAAAGAUGGUGAACUAUGCCUGAAUAGGGUGAAGCCAGAGGAAACUCUGGUGGAGGCUCGCAGCGGUUCUGACGUGCAAAUCGAUCGUCAAAUUUGGGUAUAGGGGCGAAAGACUAAUCGAACCAUCUAG
rnacentral:rRNA from 2 species